rnacentral:rRNA from 1 species
AGAGUUUGAUCCUGGCUCAGGAUGAACGCUGGCGGCGUGGAUAAGGCAUGCAAGUCGAAAGGGUUUAGACCCUUGGCAAACGGGUUCGGAACGCGUAGGAAUUUACCUCGAAGUCGCGAAUAACUCGGAGAAAUCCGUGACAAUACGCGAUGUGCUCUACGGAGCAAAGAUUUAUCGCUUCGAGAGAAGCCUGCGUCCUAUCAGCUAGUUGGUAAGGUAAUGGCUUACCAAGGCUAUGACGGGUAGGGGGUGUGAGAGCAUGGCCCCCAACAUUGGCACUGAGACACUGGCCAAACACCUACGGGUGGCUGCAGUCGAGAAUAUUCCACAAUGGACGAAAGUCUGAUGGAGCGACGCCGCGUGCAGGAAGAAGGCCUUCGGGUUGUAAACUGCUUUUCUUAGGGAGCAAUUUCGAUGAGAGUACCUAAGGAAUAAGGGGUUACUAACUCUGUGCCAGCAGUAGCGGUAAUACAGAGACCCCGAGCGUUAUCCGGAUUUAUUGGGCGUAAAGGGCAGGUAGGCGGGCAUAUUAGUCGGAUGUCAAAUCCCUCGGCUCAACCGAGGACAGGCAUUCGAAACGGUACGCCUCGAGAUAGUGAGAGAUCAGUGGAAUUUACGGUGUAGUAGUGAAAUGCGUUGAUAUCGUAAGGAACACCAAAGGCGAAGGCAACUGAUUGGCACUUUUCUGACGCUGAGCUGCGAAAGCGUGGGUAGCGAAUGGGAUUAGAUACCCCAGUAGUCCACGCCCUAAACGAUGCAUACUAGGUGCGGGAGGAAUCGACCCCUUCCGUGCCGUAGCUAACGCGUUAAGUAUGCCGCCUGGGAAGUACGAUCGCAAGAUUAAAACUCAAAGGAAUAGACGGGGAUCCGCACAAGUGGUGGAGCAUGUGGUUUAAUUCGACGAUAAGCGAGGAACCUUACCAGGGCUUGAAAUCUUACUGCAAAGUCUAGAAAUAGACCUUCCUUCGAGGGUGUAAGACCAGGUGCUGCAUGGUCGUCGUCAGCUCGUGUCGUAAGAUGUUCCGUUCAGUCGGGAAACGAGCGCAACCCCUAUGAAGUGUUUUAUAUGUCACUUCAGACUGCCCAGCCCUUAUUUUUUGAAAAAUUCGAAAGAUAAGGGCUGGGAGGAAGGCGGGGAUGACGUCAGAUCAGCAUGGCCCUCUGACGCCCUGGGCUACACACGUGCUACAAUGGCGAGGUACAAAGGGUUGCAAAGUCGCGAGACGGAGCUAAUCCCAUAAAACUCGCCUCAGUUCGGAUUGAAGGCUGCAACUCGCCUUCAUGAAGCUGGAAUCACUAGUAAUCGUGAAUCAGCAACGUCACGGUGAAUACGUUCUCGGAUCUUGUACUCACCGCCCGUCACACCAAGAGAGCUGGCAACACCAAAAGGCCCCGUGUCAAAUCGGGGACUACGGUGGGGUUAGUGAUAAGGGUGAAGUCGUAACAAGGCAUCCGUAGCGGAAGCUGUGGAUG